UCCCAAGGCACGGGCAGCACAUCUCGGUGUGGCGACGGGCCUGCGAGUUACAGACGGUUCAGCAGGAGCACAGAGGGCAGGGCUGAGGGCCUCACAAAGGGGGAGAGGUCUGCCGCAGAUGAAGCAGAUACCACAUGGGGCCCGAUCAUACGGGGUAAAAGAAUACGGCUUUUAUCUCGAUGUCAGUGGGUGAGCCACCGGAGAUUUGGGGCCAUGCUUCUCUGACUGGUGUAAACAUCCAUUUGCCGGCAAAACAAGCCCUUGCUGAUCGACUGAGGGGAGACAGAACUGAGUUACAAUCCGGCAGCUUCUGUUUAAGGCCUUGUGACUCACCCCGUGGCGGUGCGGAGAUUGCUAAGGCCUGUGCCCUCCUGUAAACACCUGUCACUUCCCCGCUCGGCAGAAACACCCGGGGCGGAUGAGGUCACGCGCGUGGAAUGUACAGGAGCUUCUCGGAGAAACGAACCAGAUACGUUCGGGACGUUACUAUCGUCACCCCAGCCGUCUGGGAGUCCGCUUUCUGGCAAACCCAAGGGCCCAGAAGCCAGAAGCUACAAAAUAAGGAAAAAUAAAGGAAGGUGCCCGGCCCCAGAGAAAGCAGGAAGUAGACACGGAAAUGGCUGUAAGGUCAGAGAUAACGCGAAGCAGGAUACGCCCGGUCGUGAGGGAAGCUUCGUGGCCCCUGGAGGGAAUGACGGCAGUGGCCGGCCGCCCCACUGUGCACAGACCUCCCAGAAAAUCAAAGGCAAGUUCUCCCUGGUUUUGUGAAGCGGGACCCUUCUGCCUGCUGACUCGGGCAAGGAUGUGCUUAGCUGAGUCGUCCCGUCUCUCCUGGCAUCAGGGCUCCGUGCUUUGAAUGCAAGAGGUGGUCGGAGAAAAUGAUUCUCCUUCCCACGGCUUAAUACAAGGAGGCGGGCGAGGCGCCUCGCGUGUGGGAGGAGUUUCUCACCACGUCUGGGACCCUGCGACUGAUGCCACCACAUACCUUCGGACGACCACAG